UGCAGGGUAGCUCAGUUGGUAGAGCACAGAAAAAGGCUGGUGUCGCCGGUUCGAUUCCGGCCCCUGCAA
rnacentral:tRNA from 1 species